ensembl:lncRNA LINC02465 long intergenic non-protein coding RNA 2465
AGGAACCAUGGCUCACUGGAGCACCAUCUUUGGAGUCUAGCUAACACAGCAUCUUGGAUGCACUCCUAAGAGAAGACUACCUGAAAGGCGUGUACACUGGUCUAGCAGUUGAGAUCAGCUAGUGUUCCAUCUAUCUUCUGUCAUGUCAGGGAAGACUCUCUGAUCCUCUCAUAAUUUACCUAUUGUUGAUUUCCUGAAUCUUUUUAAAUCCUUUGCAACUGAAGAUGGUCUCUCCAUCAGAGAAGCAAUUAACCAAAUGCCUGACUACAGCGUAUAUAGCAUCUGUUAUAAAAGCAUAAAAGGUUAACUUAAAUCCUGGCACACAAAGGAGAUGUCAGACCAGAACAAAUCAGCAUGGAAAUACCUGGAGGAGAUACAAGGUUAAGGUGGAGCAUAUGUACAGUCAAGAGGAUGUUCAUGACUAGUGGAAUGUGUUUUUCAGAUUGCAAAGACUGGAAGAUCUCUUCUAAGAUGUCUUGAUCGACUGACCCCAAAGCCAGAGGGUACCAGGUCAAAAAGCAAGAAAACAAACAAUACUGACAUUAGAGAGAAGCAAAGUUUCUAUAGAAAACCUAUUACACUGUGGUAUAAAUCAAGAUGAACCUGCAGACAUCUAUUUUAGUUUGGAAGUCUGGAAAAGUUCAAGAUUGGCCAUCUGCAGCUGGUGAGAGCCUCAGGCUGCUUCCCCUCAUGGUGGAAGGUGAAGGGGAGCUGGUGUGUGCAGAGAUUACAUGCUUUUCUAGGUCAUCAUUCUAGGCUUUGUUGAAGCAUGCAUUUUUGGCAUGAGGGUGGCAGCCUUUGCACUAUGUGCAUGGCUGAGGAGUUAGGAUCUGGAGGGUGAUGAAAGCAAAGGUGCUGCUGGUUACUCUUGGUUCAUCUAGCAAUAGAUGAUCUGAAUGUUAGAGUUCGCCAAAUAUUGUUCCUGGGCAGUCUUUGCUCUACCAAAUCAACUUUCUCCAUGGGGGAGCUAGAAGUCACCCCACAUUCUCCGCCAUGGCCAGCUCUACAUUCUAAGAGAACCAAUGGCUCUACCCAACAUAUUCUUCUCACCACAGAUGACAAAGACACAAGGAGCCAAGACAGAUCAUUCAAGCAUAUUCAUUGCCUCUAUCUUCAUCCCAUUAAAUAACAUCCCGCCAACCAAAGCAAGUUAUCUGCAUAAGAAUAAAUAUUCCACCUACUCUACUGCAAGGCCCUGCAAGAGUCAUGAGACAAAAGGAUCCUCUGUGGACAGCACCCAAGAUGGAAACAACUGACAGUCUAUGGCCAGGGCUAUACUCUGGUGAAACUGAAAGGUGUCUGCAUGGAAGUGUCUGACUACCACCAUCCACUCAGGCAAAUGCAUUUGUUUCCCUCUAUUCAUUAUUAGAAGAGAGGAGAUUACAUACCAGACAUAUACCAAUAGAAGCUUCAAGGGUCAGAUCCUGAUAUGGACAAGACACCGCUGAAUUCUCUCUCCAACAAAAGAUUACUUCAAUGCAGGAACCAACUCCCAGCUGAAGAUUGAUUACAAUAUUAGCUAUGAUUGGCGGGACACUGUGACUCACGCUUGUGAUCCCAGCACUGUGGGAGCCUGAGGCAGGUGGAUCACCUGAGGUCAGGAGUUCGAGACCAGCCUGGCCAACAUGGUGAAACCUUCUCUACUAAAUACAAAAAAUUAGCCGAGCGUGGUGGUUCAUGCCUGUAAUCCCAGCUACUCGGGAGGCUGAGACAGGAGAAUCGCUUGAACGCAGGAGGCGGAGAUUGCAGUGAGCCGAGAUCACGCCACUGUACUCCAGCCUGGGUCCAUCUCAACAACAACAACAAAAUAAAAAAAAAAAUAAAUGAAA